rnacentral:rRNA from 1 species
GACGAACGCUGGCGGCGUGCUUAACACAUGCAAGUCGAACGGAAAGGCCCUGCUUUUGUGGGGUGCUCGAGUGGCGAACGGGUGAGUAACACGUGAGUAACCUGCCCUUGACUUUGGGAUAACUUCAGGAAACUGGGGCUAAUACCGGAUAGGAGCUCCUGCUGCAUGGUGGGGGUUGGAAAGUUUCGGCGGUUGGGGAUGGACUCGCGUCGUAUCAGCUUGUUGGUGGGGUAGUGGCUUACCAAGGCUUUGACGGGUAGCCGGCCUGAGAGGGUGACCGGCCACAUUGGGACGGAAAUGCGGCCCAGACUCCUACGGGAGGCAGCAGUGGGGAAUAUUGCACAAUGGGCGGAAGCCUGAUGCAGCAAAGCCGCGUGCGGGAUGACGGCCUUCGGGUUGUAAACCGCUUUCGCCUGUGACGAAGCGUGAGUGACGGUAAUGGGUAAAGAAGCACCGGCUAACUACGUG